rnacentral:lncRNA from 1 species
GCUUACAUCUACUCCUCACCUCCUCCUCCUCACCACUACUAGAUAAUGAGCUCACUUGCCUCCUGGUAACGGUGAAGAGGACGAAGAAGAAAGACGUCCAAAAUAAAGAAAGGGGUUGUCCAAGGAAAGAACCUUACCAAUCAUGCAUACGAGUGAGAGCAGAAAAGCUAGCGAGUCUCCGCGUGUGAUGUGAAUGUUUUUAAUAGUUUUUUUUAUUAAUUAGGAGGAAGUUUCAUCAUCAAUCUUUUCAUUUCUAUGUAUUCGACAGUUGUUGUGCACUUCCCAUCUUCGAUUAAAGAGUUUAUAUAUGUGUAUCCAUGUCGUUUAUUUCAGCCUUAUUCCCAACGGAGACGUACGUGAAUAAUAAAAAUAAAUUAAUGCCACUUCCCAAAUGUUCCUUUCUCUCUUCUC